GGAGAUGGAAUGGGUCCCCAUUCAAAUAUUAACUUUAUCUGUUAAUGCUGCUCCUGAGAAAUCCAGUUUGAAUUCAGUGCUGACUCUGCUUUGAGCAAGAGGUUGGACCAGAGACCUCCCGAGGUCCUUUCCAAGCUGAAAUAUUAUAUAAGGGACCUUAGUUCUUUGGAAAGGUUCUUCCUAGGGGAAGGUUUGGGGCAGGAUUGCCUCAGUGCUGCUCUGGCUCAGCUGAGUUAAUGUCUAGAAGCAGCUGGUGACAGAAGGAAAUAGAGGAACAUCAAGUGGUGGAUCAAUCCCCGUGAAGGCUCUGAACAGAUCUACCAGUGAUACAACACAUAUAGGACAGGAUAUUUGUCCGUUGUCCGCCUUCAGAAGAGAAAUGGGGACAGGAAAUUAAACUGGCCCAAGCGUUCGAUCUCUGCCGCCGUUUUUAAGAGGCUUUUAAAAAUUCCUGGAAAAAUCUUUAGGAGCGCCUCAGGAAUUUUUUUUACCCUCUACUUCUUGAACUCCUGUGUCAUCAUUCAGCACAGGGAUUGGAACGAAAGCUUUGAUGGGAUUUCUGUCUCGAGCCGGACUGAAACAAAAAGCAAAGUUAUCUGUGCAGGCUGGUGAGUUAUUCACGCUCAGCUUCAGCGGCAGCAGAGAACAUCUCAGAGUAGUAAAUAAGACUGACAACUAAAUCCAUGCUCCAGGGACUUCAGCACCUCUGUUUCAUUUGGAAACAGGUAGAAAUGUCCUUUCUCUUGGCUCUGUGGACUUGGAGGUGGUUUGGAUGCCAAGUCGGACGGCUGCACGGACACACUUGCGGAUUUACACGGCUCACACAAGCUGGUGUUCACUGAGGAGGGAUCAGUUUUAAUCUCUGUGUAAAGCUGACAUAACACUGAGUGUAAGCUGGAAGCUUUCUGUGGAUGCAAGUCGGAUGCUGACGGGGAGGUGUUUGUUUUUUCUGUGGGGUUUUUUUUUUAUUUUUACUAUUUUAUUUUAAUUUAUGUCAUUUCUUCACUUUUUCUCUCUCCAAAGCACAGAGGUGUUUCAGGGUUUCCCCAGCCUUCCUCUUCUGACCAGUAGGUUAAAAAAGUCAGUUUGGGGGCUUCCUGCAGUGAAAACCUGUGUGUCACCACUCAGCUGUCCCGGUUGUCACCAGGGAGACUGGCUGCUGCCUCUGAGCCACAGGACUGGCCAGAGACGGGGACAGAAGGGAGAGCAAGAGAGAAGGGAAAUUACAUGCUUGGUUUUGCAGACAGAAUGAAUUUCCCGGCAGUGCCAGAGUGUCUCUGAGAGCAAAAGGUCCGAGUGCCUGGUUUAUCUCAGCGGGACUUGCACACACGCCUCGGAUUAACCCCUGUGCUCUCAGAUCUCUGCCCGCCUUAACAGCUGGGGGCACCUUCAUCUGUAAACCAGGGCGUUUGCUCCGGCUUCAAACCAAGGAAAAUCUGAUCCAGAGUCAGGAACUGAUUUCCUGGACCCAACUCUUGAAGGAUGAGUGUUUAAAAUCAGCCCACUUCUCUGCCUCCUCUUUUUUCUCCCUCUUCUUGCUUUAAUGCACUGGUAAUGUCCUCUAAAUUAUACUUAAAUUAAUUCAAGGCUUUUUCAUUUGGACAAUAUGUCAGUAAGAAGGAAAAAUCAAACACACACCUGGAUAGUAUUAGACAGUCAAUAAGGGGUUUUAAAAUACAUUCAGUUUUCAAAAGAUGAUUCAGUGACAAAGCUGAAAACUGUUUAAACAGGAAUCCAGAUGUCUGCAGCCUGUCACCCCCAAGUUUUUAUUCUUCCUAGGCAUCAGAUGUUCUUGAUUUUCCAUAUAGCCAACUUUAUUUCCUUCUGUUUUAUAAUGCACUUACACAACAGAACUGUACCAGUGAAAAAAGGAAAAAGCAAAGAAAAGGGGAAUAAUUCAGUUAUUGGGUUUACCCUUCUAAUUACAGUGGGACUUCAAUGAGGAACCACGUGACAGACAAAUCAAAAAUCAAAUUUAGCCAAAUAAUGGUAGAUGGUAGAAUUUUGAUACAAGAUUCUAGUUGUAUCCUUUUCAGUGAAACUUUUUAUUUACUGCAAACCGCCUCUGAGACUUGGAGAUCUUCAGUGAGCAGCUUCUCUGGACCUACCAAACAGGUGCCCAAGACACAGGGCAUGUAUCACACACCUCAGGGGACUGGACACAGAAAGAGCUCUAUGAAUAGUUUACAAGAGUUUCCAUUUGUCCCAAAUUGGCACCUGUGGGAUGGAGCUGCCCAGAUAGUCAGCCCUAUCCACAGGAAAUUCCCUCUUUACUCACUUCUUCCUACAGUUAGGAACUGGAUGACCAAGCAACCUCUGUAUCAGUACUGACAAGGUGAGAAAGAAUCCCUGAAAGGAAAAUUUCUAGAAGCCAGGAAAAUAGCCAUGGGAAGUGCUGCAAAAUGGUUCCUUGAUUUCUACAGUCUCCUCUAAAUAUCCCUGACUGGCCUGUACCAGAGACUGGGUACCAGGAAAGCCAGAUCUUUAGUCUGACCAGUGUAAUAUGUGAACAACACACAAAUUAAAUGUGCUUUAAGAGUAGCAGGUUGGACACUCACCUUGGUGCUGAACUAAAGUCACCUCACACUUGUAUUUUCAUCCUGGGACUCCUCAUUGGUCUCUUCAUAACUGUUACCCACCUCUCAUUUUAUAUUUUGGGACUUGGUGCCACAGUAACUCAACAAAACAAUAAUUCAGACAGAAAAGAGAAAAAAAAUCUGAAAUAAAUUAAAGACAGAAAUGGUUCCAGGGAAUAUGUACAUAUACAAGAGAUGGGUGGAGCUAUUAUCCAAUUUUUCCAUCUAUGCUGUGAUGUGAAGUAAAUCAUGAUCAUCUCUGCUGUGUUGUUACUAAUUGCCUGUACAAGGAGGAUACCCAGGGCCCCUCAGCCUUCAGCUGUGGGCAGAAAGAGCAGAGACAGACUUGGCCUGUGUGUAGAAGAACCACCAGGAGGGGAAACAGAAGGGGAUGAAAACAAAAGAACAAAUCUAUUGCACAGGAAGUAGAGGGAGUUGUGGACAAAAUAAAUUGUACAGCAGCGUAAGUGUGAUGAGAAAAGAGGAAAGAGAAAACAUGAGUAGAGA